rnacentral:rRNA from 1 species
AGCGAACGCUGGCGGCAGGCCUAACACAUGCAAGUCGAACGGCCGUAGCAAUACGGCAGUGGCAGACGAGUGAGUAACACGUGGGAACGUACCCUUUGGUUCGGAACAACACAGGGAAACUUGUGCUAAUACCGGAUAAGCCCUUACGGGGAAAGAUUUAUCGCCGAAGGAUCGGCCCGCGUCUGAUUAGCUAGUUGGUGGGGUAACGGCCCACCAAGGCGACGAUCAGUAGCUGGUCUGAGAGGAUGAUCAGCCACACUGGGACUGAGACACGGCCCAGACUCCUACGGGAGGCAGCAGUGGGGAAUAUUGGACAAUGGGCGCAAGCCUGAUCCAGCCAUGCCGCGUGAGUGAUGAAGGCCCUAGGGUUGUAAAGCUCUUUCAGCGGGGAAGAGUAAUGACGGUACCCGCAGAAGAAGCCCCGGCUAACUUCGUGCCAGCAGCCGCGGUAAUACGAAGGGGGCUAGCGUUGCUCGGAAUCACUGGGCGUAAAGCGCACGGU